UAUUCUCAUGUCCUUUCAGGUGCCCACAUGCAUAUUUUGUUAUUGCAGGGAUAAUCGGGAAACAGGUUAAAAACCUGUGCUGCCCCCGCAACGGUAAGGAAUGUUAAUGAAUUUUAACGUUCUGAGUCCGGAGACCGGCCUGUUAAAACAUGAUAUC
rnacentral:ncRNA from 2 species